ACACUUCGGGUUCUUUUGUAAAGCAAAGGCUAGUUUCCCUUAUAAACUAUGUGUUUGUUUAGUCCUGCUUGGCUUUGCAGAAAAGAUUUGCUGAGACAUACUGCCCUAGAAAUUUUUACAAAAAACUCUCAGUUUCAAAUGGUGAGUAAAGUUGUUGAUUUUCUAAUGAAUGCUCCUGCUUUCUUUUUAUUUUUACUCUAGUUUGUCAAUUUGACUAGCUCUUUGAAAUAUAUGUAUUUUAUAUGAAAUAGAUGAAUUUAUUCAUGAAAGAAACAAUUUCUUUAUAUAUAACACUGUAGAAGAGAAAUUAUGAAAACUACAGUAAGAAGGAGAAAGCCAAGCAGGAAGAAAGUGCUGAAUUUUUUUAAUGAAUUUAUAAAUAUGCACAAAUUUGUGGUUCCCUGUGCUCUUAAUAGCACACUAUUUUACAAUGCUUUUUUGUAUGUUGGCAGCAUUUAUGUGUCAGAUAUAUAUCUAGAUCAAUCUAUUUAUUUAUCUAUUACCUCAAAUACUUAAUAUUACAAAAUUAAACUCAGAUAUGUAAGCAAAAGAAGAUUGCAUUUCCAUACAUUUGCUAACCAAAGAAAUGUAUUUCUUUUUAAUUAGCAGCUCAUUAAAAACAGAUAAAAAUACUUUGUGACUCUCCAGUUGAAAAUAUUUGAGGGAUAAAUUUAAAUGAAAGUUUAUAUUUUUAUACUGCCAUUACUAUUAACAAGUUUUCCAUUAUUAGGAAAAAGUUAUGAUUAGAUAUUCGGGGUUUUAGAUACAGUUUUCAAAACAGAAUCCGCAAUUUUCAGAUUUUGGCUAACACAGAGUACCUAUUAUUCUUCUUAUCAUUGGACCACAUAAAAUUUGCUUUUUUGUAAGAUUGAAAAAUGGUUGAAUAACAGCAAUUUCACAUGGCUCAAUUCAACAUGUGCUGAACCCUAUGUAGGAUUUGUAAACCUAGAAAUUCUUGUCUCAACACUUUUUUUUUUUUAAUGUUUAUUUAUUUUGGGGACAGAGAGAGACAGAGCAUGAAUGGAGGAGGGGCAGAGAGAGAGGGAGACACAGAAUCGGAAGCAGGCUCCAGGCUCUGAGCCAUCAGCCCAGAGCCCGACACGGGGCUCGAACUCACGGACCGCGAGAUCUUGACCUGAGCUGAAGUCGGACGCUUAACCGACUGAGCCACCCAGGCGCCCCUCAACACUUUUAUAAUCUAAUUUUGAGGCAGAUUUUGUUUUUUGGGUCUUUUUUUAGGUUUAUUUACUUAUUUAUUUAUUUACUUAUUUAUUUAUUUUGAGAGAGACCGAGAGAGAGCAAGAGCGAGCAUGAAUGGGAGAGGGACAGAGAAAGAGGAAGAGAGAGAAUCCCAAGCAGGCUCUGUACUGACAGCAGGACUCGACCCCGUGAACAGAACAGUCAGAUCAUGACCUGAGCUGAGAUUAAGAAUCAGACACUUAAUUGACUGAGCCACCCAGGUGCCUCUGGAGGCAGAUAUUGUAAGUAAUUAAUUUUAAUACAAGAUACAAGGAAAAAUGCAGUUUCAAGCUCCAUUGCUCUUCAGAAGGAGGGAUGAAUCCUAUAGGGGGAUCUGGGAACGCUUUUAUUGGAAAUGGCAUUUAAACUGGUCCUUCAUAGAUAAGAAUAAUUUCAUAGAUGAACAGUAACUGUGCUUACUAAAUUCAAUUAAGCUAUUCGUUUAUUUUCAGUGAGACAUCUUGUCCAAAAUAUAGAUUCUGUAAUAUCAACAUUUACCAUCAAACAUUUGACUGAAUAAGAAUAUUGCUAGUUUAUUUUUUCUGAAUUCCUCAACCACACAUCUCAUAACUUUAUAUUUCUCUAGGUUAUAGUUUUUUUUUUUUUCCAUUUAAAGUAAGUGUGAUGAUGUGAUAUCACCGUCUCAGGCUUCAAUCAUUUGACUAGAUCUCCAGAUGAUUUCCUUCUUCUGGCAUACCUAGGGUCUAAAACGAUAACAUGCUAAUACAUGAAUUGUGUACUAUAAAAACCUAAUGUUGUAUACAUAUUAUUCAAAUGAAUAGUAUUUAAUACUAAAUAAAUAAAUACAAGACAAAAUGAAGUAUGGUAAAAACUGGACAGAAUUUAUUACCAUUUAAAAUAUGAUGAACAACAAUUUUCUGGUAGUCAGGAAGCCCGGAGACAUAUAGAGACAGAGGCACAUUAUCAGCGGCAACAAGGUGACUGAUGAGCGCGUCUACUCCCAGCUACCUAGUCAAAAAGAGAUCUAGAUCAGCACUACAUUCCCCAAGCACAGCCUCUUAUUUUGAUGGCUGUCGAGCUUUCUUACUGCCAAGAUACUUUUUUUUUUUUAAUCAAUUAGACUUCCAGGGUCUUGACCUAUUUUUAUUCUUCCAGUUUAUGAUUGUCCUGGCAUCAAUUUCUUUCCAACUGUGUGUCCUGGUGAGAUAAAUUCCCUAUCUCACUCAUUGACAUCCUCAACCUCAAUGUCUUUUCAUUCUAACAGUUUACAAAACCCUGAUUAUGAAUCAGUUCCCUUGUGCAGCCAGAAUUCUGAGCCCUGUAAGAGAUAGCUACAUGCACCAUUUUCUCCAAGGCUAAGGCUUCAGUGCUCCUCAGAAGUUCAAAUAUAUAUUUUUACAGAAAUUUGUAGGGUCAUGAGUGAGGCAAGAGUGUAAUUAAAAAAAAAAAAAAGCCAUGUACCUGGAAAAAAUUAGCCAUUUGACUGGUAAGGACUUGAUUUUCAUCAACUUUAGUGACUUCAGAAGAGUCCAACAUAAACACCAAACAUGUAAGCUGAUUAAACUCCCUGAAAAAUAAACCAAAUAACUCAUAUUUUCUUUGUAGCUCAUUAUCUUCCAGUAGAUUACUGUACAUGUGAAGUCAAACUACAAUCUAACGGUGAUUUGGUGAAAAUAAAAUCUGAAUAAGGAGAAUUAAUUAAGUAGUUUUUAUGUUAAAGAGCCCAGCUUAUGAGAAAUCAUGCAUAUCAAUCUCCUAAGUAUAGAGAGCUGUGAUAACAGAAAUAAAAAUUUCAAGUCUGGGCCAGAGUACUCUUCCCUCCAAAAGAUUCUUGGAUGGGGACAGUCAACCUUCAAACUCACCUCCACCUCUUUUUAAAUGUAUUUUAUUUACAAAUCUCUUAAAAUUCUAUGCAGACAUUCCUAUUGUUUACAGUAUAACACAAAAGCAUGAUAUUACAGUUUUUUUUUUUAAUUUUACUACCCUUUAUAUUUUAGGCAUUGCUCAGAGAAUAAUAUUCCUACAUCCUUAUUUCCACAUACUUGGUUAAUUAAUGUGGUAUUUUGAUAAUUUAAGUUUAAUUUAUUUGACAAUAAUUUUAUAGAGAAUGUUAAGAGGCUCCCUAUUUAUAAAAUUUGCUUUAUUUACACUGUAUUAUUUAUCAACAGAACAAAACAUGUUUUGAGUAUUUGGGGAACUUGUAACUUUCUUACUCAGGUAAUGAACAUUGUUCUCUCUCCCUCUUUUUUUUUUUUGUUUCUGUUCAGUUAUUUUUUGAUUGUAGUAAGAACAAUUAAAAUGAGAUAUACCAUCUUAACAAUUUUUUAUUUUUUAUUUUUUAAGUGUAUUUAGUUAUUUUGAGAGAGAAGAAGAAUGAGAGUGAUAGUAGAGGGGAAGAGAGAGGGAGAGAGAAAAUCCCAAGCAGGCUUUGCACUGUCACCACAGAGCCCAACGCAGGGAUCGAACUCAUGAACUAUGAGAUCAAGGCCUGAGCCAAAAUUAAGAGUCUGAUGCUUUAACUGACUGAGCCACCCAGCUGCCCCAACAAUUUUUUAAGUGCAUAAUACAGUGCUGUUACUCUAGGCAAAAUGUUGUGCACUAUAUCUCCAGAAUUUACUCAUGUUGCAUAACUGAAACUUUAUACCUGUUGAACAGCAUUUCUCCAUUUCACCUCCCCACCCCCCCAACCCACCCAGGUCCUGGCAAUCACCACUCUACUUUCUGUUUCUGAGUUUGACUCUUUUAGAUUUCUCAUGUAAAUGGAAUCAUCCGAUAUUUGUCCUUCUGUGACUGGCAUAUGUCACAUAGCAUAACGUCCUCCAAGUUCACCCACGUUGUUGCAUAUGACAGUAUUGCCAUCUUUUUAAAGCUGCAUAAUAUUCCAUUUUGUGUAUGAACCACAUGGAUAGAGAUAUUCAUUCAUCCAUCAGUGGACUUCUGGAUUGCUUCCAUAUCUUAACUAUUGUGAAUAAUACCGCAAUAAACAUGAGAGUGCAGAUAUCUCUUUGAGAUCUUGAUUUUAAUUAUUUUGGGUAGACACCCAGAAGUGUCAUUACUGGAUCAUUGGCAUUUCUGUUUUGAAUUUCUUGAGGAGCCUUCACACUGUUCUCCAUAGUGGCCACGCCAUUUUGCAUUGUCACCAAUAGUGUAAACGUGUUCCAAUGUCUCCAUAUCAACACAAACACUUAAUGCCUUUUUAUAAUUGUUAUUAUAGACAUCCUAACCUGUGUGAGAUGUCGUUUGAUUUGCAUUUCCCUGAUGAUUAAUGACAUUGAGAAUCUUUUCCUGUGCCUGUUUGCCAUUUGUAUAACUUCUUUGGAGAAAUGUCUCUUCAAGUAUUUAGCUCAAUUUUUAAUCAGAUUAUUUGUUUUUAUUGGUAUUGAAGUGUAGGAGUUCCUUACAUAUUUUGGAUUUUAAUCCCUUAUCAGAUAAAUAGUUUGCUUUCAAAAUUUAACUAGACUCACUUAGGUAACACCUGUGGUCUUUUUUUUCUUUUUUUUUUUUUUUUGGUAAAAGUUUGUGUAUAUUAAAAUUUAUUCAACCUGGUUUAAUAGUAAAUUUGUCUUUUUCUAAUUGAGAUAAUAUUCACUACUUACCAAUCUGAAGUGUACAAUUUAGUGGUUUUUAGUAUAUUCACAACCUUGUGAAACCAUCAUUACUCUCUAAUUCCAGAACAUGUCCGUCUCCCCCCACAAAAAAUCUUGUACCUGCUGGAAGUCAAUCUCAAUUCUCUCUUCCCAUAUCCUCUGGCAAAAAAUAAAAGAUUUUUUUACUUUAAGUCCCUGAGUUUGUGAUAAUUUGUUAUAUAGCAAUAUUGCAGAUAAGUUGACUUAGCCACAGGUCUAUAAUUACUGUUAUAUAAUGCAUGUAUAUUUUGUUUAAAUCUAUUUAUUAUGAUGAUCUUUUUCUAUGUACUGUUCCUCCUUUUACAUUUCUCACCCUGAUUAAGUAAUUUUCCAUUAUCAUUGAUAUGUUCGAAUUUCUUACUGUGACAUGAGAGACCUUUGCUAAAAUAACCCCAAAUGAUUUUUCUUUUUAAAACUUUUUCAUGUUUUUAUGUAUUUAUUUUGAAGGAGAGAGAGGGAAAGAGAGAGAGCAGGGAAAAGACAGAGAGAGGGAGAGAAAGAAUCCCAAGCAGACCCCGUGCCGCCAGUGCAGAGCCUGAUGUGGGGCUGGAACCCACGAACUAUGAGAUCAUCACUUGAGCUGAAACCAAAAGUUGAAAGCUUAGCCAUCUGAGCCACCCAGAUACCCCCCACAUGAUUUUUCCAGCUUUCUAUAUCAUACUAUUUUCCACUGUCUCCUCACAUACGUAGGCUAAAUUCCUGCCACAUUGUGCUUCUUGCUUUUCUCUCAAUGUGCCAGUCAUUUUAAAAAAUAAAAAUAUUUAUGUUAGAAUUUGAAAAGCAAUUCAUCAUUUUAUUUUACAGAAUAUUUAUUAUUAAUUUGUAAAAGUUGACAUUUUCAAUGUAUCUUCAAAGUUAAUUUCUCUUCAUUUACAACUUUAUCUUACUGCACAUUCGCCUUUGAAUUCUGAAGAUCCUCUGUUUAAUGUUAUUCUCAAAUAAUAUAAACUGUAGCACAAGAGAAGGAAAUUCAUACCACCUCAUUUUCUCAUUCCCCAGAACCAGUGUUGUUAUAUCAUUUCCACCUAACCAAACAUUAUUUAAUUGGUAUGUAUCCCUGUUUCCAAGGAGAUUUCAAAUUCAUUGGCAUUUUCCAGUAACAUAUUGACAAACACAUUAAAUCCUAGAAAUGUGCCAAUACUUUCCUUGCCCUGGUCAGCCAAAAGCAAAUCCACCAUUCCCAUCCAGAGUCUAGUAACAAUAGCUACAAUGCACUUGCGGAGGUUUAGGUGGCCAUAGGUAUCCCAGAGAUAGCUUACAACAAGUUUUACCUUCUGUGCCUUGAUGAGAUGUUGUUUGCUUCCUUCACAACCUGGAAUAUUUUUACUUAUUCUUCAAGAUUAGUCCAAAUGACUUCCUGUGAGGUCACUUCUGUUUUCCUGAUAGAGUUAGCCCUUCAUUCUCCUUGCUUCUCACAGCACUAUUCCAAUAUCUAUCACAUGAAUAGGUUUUAUUUUUUUGUUUUCAUGUCUUUCUUCCAAAUAGCCUCUCAUUUAUUUAAGGACAUUGAUUUUAAGUUAAUUAUCUUUGGUUUCCUAGCCCUAGCCCAGUGAGUGCUGGGACAAGGGUGCUGAAUAGAUGUUUGCAGUAGCCAUGAUGCUUCCCUCCCCUCUCUAACACAUGCACUCACCAUUUAUUUAUUUUUUUAUUAAUUAAUUAAUUAAUUUUUAAAUUUACAUCCAAGUUAGUUAGCAUAUAGUGUAACAAUGAUUGCAGGAAUAAAUUCCUUAAUGCCCCUUACCCAUUUAGCCCAUUCCCCCUCCCACAACCCCUCAAGCAACACUCUGUUUUCUGUAUUUAAGAGUUUCUUAUGUUUUGUCCUCCUCCCUGUUUUUAUAUUAUUUUUUCUUCCCUUCCCUUAUGUUCAUGUGUUCUGUAUCUUAAAUUCCUCAGAUGAGUGAAGUCAUACGAUAUUUGUCUUUCUCUGACUAAUUUCGUUUAGCAUAAUACUAUCUAGUUCCAUCCAUGUAGUUGCAAAUGGCAAGAUUUCAUUCUUUGUGAUUGCUGAGUAAUACUCCAUUGUAUAUGUAUACCACAUCUUCUUUAUCCAUUCAUCCAUCGAUGGACGACAUUUGGGCUCUUUCCAUACUUUGGCUAUUCUCAAUAGCACUGCUAUAAACAUUGGGGUGCAUGUGCCCAUUCGAAACAGCACACUUGUAUCCCUUGGAUAAAUACCUAGUAGUUCAAUUGCUGGGUUGUAACAUAGUUCUAUUUUUAAUUUUUUGAGGAACCUGCGUACUGUUUUCCAGAGUGGUUGCACCAGUUUGCAUUCCCACCAACAGUGCAAAAGAGAUCCUCUUUCUCCGCAUCCUCGCCAACAUCUGUUGUUGCCUGAGUUGUUCGUGUUAGCCAUUCUGACAGGUGUGAGGUGGUAUCUCAUUGUAGUUUUGAUUUGUGUUUCCCUGAUGAUGAGUGAUAUUGAGCAUGUUUUCAUGUGUCUGUUAACCAUCUGGAUGUCUUCUUUGGAGAUGUGUCUAUUCAUGUCUUUUACCCAUUUCUUCACUAGAUUAUUUGUUUUUUGAUGCACCCGUCAUUUCUGAGUUUGUUUCUUGUUUCAUAAAUCUUUCAGAAAUUACAUUGGCCUGGAGAAAAUAUAUUCAAUAUCCCAUUGUUAUAGUGGUAAACCUCAGCAUUGAUAUGUCUGUUGCAGAUUCCUACAUGUGAAAACACUCUUCACCUAAUGUACCUUGACUCCCAGAAAGGCAACAGAAGCAGAGAUGUCACACACAAAGAGUUUGGAGUAUCACACACAAGACCUCAACUCCAAAUGGAAGAAAAAGUCCUGCAACCACCACAAUCUGAAAUGAAAGUCAACAUAUGGGAAAUAAAGCCUCCUGAUUUCAGUUACAAACUGUAUACAUCUUUGAGAUUUCCAGAAAAACCAUCAAGGAUUAUUAAGGAAAAACAAGGGAGGGAAAAAAAAGUUAAUUUCCCAGAAACAAUGCUUCACCUGCCCAGCAUAAGGAAUCAUCCCAAGAAGGCCAUAUCUCCAGAGUUUAUAACUACAUUCCCACAUAUGGAUUCAAAUGAAGUGAAGUUAAUGUUUGUGAAGAGUGGAAAGUAUCCAAAUGGUGUAUACCUCAAUCCAAAACCACAUGACUUUCGACAGGUACAAAAAGCAUUUGAAUCAAGAAAACAAAACAGAUAAGGAGAAAUACAUAUUAUUUUUUACUCAUUUCUUAAUUAUGACUACUAUUACAUGAGCAAAAAGGUAUGUACAUAUAAUAUGUGUAAGUCUGCAUCUUGAUUUCCCAAGAAACAAUACAAUUCAAAUUCAGCAAUAAGUGACAGAAGAGAGAGGUAGGACCCUGGUUAAUGUUUCUGAUGUGGUUUUAUCUAUCAUGUAGAUGGCCUUUCUUAGUUUUGAGAAUAGUUCGGGUUUAGAUGUGAUUGGAGAACAGAUCUCAAUUGCCAGUUUACAAUCUAGAAGUAAUAGAAUCAAUUCAUGGAAUGAAUGGAUGAAUAAAUAAAAAUUGACAAAGGCGGUAUUAUAUUACUUUCAUUAAUCUUUCCAGUGGUUAAUAAUCUAAAUAAUAUGUGGGCAAGAAUUAGAUUCAUAAUUAAAAUGAUGGUGGGGAACAUAUAUUUAAGGAGAUUCAAAUGAUUCAAAAUGUUGUUCCUCUAGAAUAUGAAUAUAUUUUAUCCUUAGGUCUAUAAUUUAACACAUAAAUAUGACUCUUGCUUAGUAAUGAGAGAAGCAAUAGGACUGAUAAAACAAACAAGAAAAAUAGCUACAAAAAAGAAUAAAUUUAUUCCAGUGGAAAAUAUAAGAAAAUAUAACUUGCCCUCUGGGAUCAGUUUAUCUAUCCUUGCUUUCUUACUUUCUAAUAAUUUUGGACAAGUUAUUAAGCCUCUUAUUUAUAACAUGGGAUAACAAUACUUCAUAUUAUAUGGCUCUUUUAAGUAAUGAAGGAGACAAUUAUACAUAAAGUGCUUACAACAGGGUCUUCGAGGUCUGUUGAGGCAUUCAAUGAAUGUUAACUGUUAGGAGCUCUUAGGAUAAAAGCUAGAAGAUUCAAGAAGCCUUGAUGUAUAACCUUCUUUACUCAUUUAAAGCAUGUAAAUCUUUCUAUUUGCAGUAAAUGGAGUAUAUUACUUUUGGAAAUGAGAGGAAGUCAGUUAAAUCGCAAAUGUCAUUGCUUUAUUCAAAAAUUUUACUAGUUACGGUUGCAAUUAUAAGACAUGAAUAAGUAAAGUUCAAGGAAUGGGAGACAUUCUAAUUUUCGCUGAAUUAAUUUGUUUUUAUGAAAAAGUGAAUUGGAGACAGUGCAAUAUAAACUGCAACCACCAGAUGUCAGUAUAAUGUCUUUUAAACUAACAGUGCUUCAAUUGUAUUUGAAGAGUGAAAAUCUUGUAUCAGGAUUUCUGUUGAGACUUUGAAUAUUUUCCUAUUUGCCUGGGGCAGAACCUAGAGUCAUUCACUAGGAUGACUCUAACUUCUGCUUGAUCUCAUCUUUUUAUGCCACAAUGAUUCAGCUUUCAAACAGAGACGUUUGUGGUAUUUUAUUUAAUUUUAGCUUCUGGAAGUAUACAGAUGCUAUUUCAGAUCAUAUUAGUUCAUUUAAACCGUCUUUAAAAAGUACUUUGUGGUAUAGUUUGCUGAAAACAACCAGUAAUUACUCUAUUCCAGUCUCAGCAAAUUCUUUUAGCUUUGUUAAAUAUUACGUCCUUGAAAUAAACUUAGCUCCAGAAAUAAAACAUGUAACCUUACUGGCAUUUAAGAUUAAAUGCAAAUUUCGAUUAGAUUCCUUUAAUUUCAUGCUGUUUAAAAUGUUAUUUCUGAUUUAUUCACAUGAGGAUAUUUGAAGUACUCUGUUCUACUAUAAAAUGAAUUGGUUAUACAGUAUCUUGAAUUGGAUUAUUCUUUCAGAUGUUCGUACACAAGUUUUAAAUGCUAUAACAAAAUCAUCAAAACUGCAUUUUACCAGUGAAAUAAUUAAUACUUGUAAAAAUCACAUUCCAAAUGUAAUGUUAGUAAUAAACAGUAUUUAUGUUUAAUCUUCUCUUUACAUAUCUAGUAUCAACAUAAUUUACCAAACUUUGUGACAACUUUUGAAAGGGACCCUUUUGGAUUAAAAUUUAAGUCCAGACACUUAAGUACAGGUAAGUCAUUAUCAUGAAGUUAUGAACACAGCAAAAAACAAACUUUCUGCAUUAUAUCUUAAUACUAAAUCUUGUAAAAACAUAUCACUAAAAUGGUGUUUUUUAACCUAUCACCUUUAAUAAUAUGGUAAUUUUUUUUAAUGCCCACUUAAUUAAUGGAAACAAUGCACUUACUUUGUUAUCUACAACUUUUAAUAUGCUGUUGAAGAUUGAGUUUUUAAGUCAAAGUGUUUUGUAUAGAGAACCAAUAGAGUGAUUCAGAGUAUAGACCAAGAAGCAAGCUGCAUAGCUUUGAAUCUUGUCUUCACUAUCCCCAAGUUACCUAAACUGUCUAUUUAUUGGUUUACCCAUCUAUAAACGGGAAUGGCAAUAACUGAAUCUGUAUCAUGGAAUUAUUGUGAGCAUUAAAUCUAUCAUACAUAUUUCGAUCAUAUAUAAUGUUUACAUAGCACAUGUUGUCGUGUACAUGGUAAAUACAUACAAACACACACUUUAUUACUGUGGUGCCAUGUGAAUAGUGCUUGUCUAGAGUUAACUUGUAUUAUCCAGUGUUACUUAUUUGGACAAGAGUGAUAAUACAUGCAUGCUAUAUUUACAUACUGUAGUUAUAUAUCAGUUAAAAAAAAAUAUGAUCUUAAUGGUGGUUGUCUGUGAGUAAUGGGAAAAUGGUUGAAUUUUAUUUUCUUCUUUUAAAAAUUGGAAUCAAGUAUUUAAACAAAAAUUUUUAAUAUUUAUUUAUUUUUGAGAGAAAGAGAGACAGAGCAUGAGCAGGGGAGGAGCAGAGAGAGAGAGAGACAUAAUCUGAAGCAGGCUCCAGGCUCCAAGCUGUCAGCACAGAGCCCGACAUGGGGCUAGAACUCAUGAACCGUGAGAUCAUGACCUGAGCCGAAGUCAGACGCUUAAUGACUGAGCCACCCAGGCACCCCUAGAAUCAAGUAGUUUUACAAUUAUGAAGUUAAGAUAAUUUAUUUCUAAAUGACGUACAUGUUUUAGCAUAGAUUAUAUUGAUAAAAGUCUUGUCUGUGUGUGUAAUUACAAUGGGACACGUCAACUUUUCUUACUAUGUAUAUAAGUCACUAUGGAAAAAAAAUGCCAAGGAAACUUUAUAAGACCCGGACUCUGAUAUCAAGAAAUUUGUAAGUAAAAUUAAAGGUAGAAUGCAAAAUAUGCCAUUCAAAUCACAAAGCACUACUGAGAAGUUUAAAAAGAGAUUUCCAGGGAAAUAAAAGGUGGGAUUAGAAUUGGAGUUUGAAGAACAUUCAUUCCUGUAGAAAUGGUGGGCAGGAUAAGCAACAUUUUAUUUAGAUCUGCAUUAUAAAUUGUCCAUCAAUUUGUCGCUCCUAGGCCCUGAUUUCCUACUAUAUUCUGAGAGAUAUGAACAAAGACCUAUGUAAUUGUUAUGUUUUCUCAUUUGUCUCCAUAUCUCUAGUACAUGGGUGUCAGUCGCUGAAAGAUGAUAAACAGAAGAACAAUAUAGAAAGAUUUAUCACUUACAAGCCUCAUGAAUGUACCUGGGACCCACAGCUAAUUUUACCAAAAGCCCCAUGGCCCAUUCAAUCAGCUUCAUACACGGUGAGCGUGACUCUUUUUUUUUUUUUUAAUGUUUAUUUAUUUUUGAGACAGAGAGAGACAGAGCAUGAACGGGAGAGGGUCAGAGAGAGAGGGAGACACAGAAUCCGAAGCAGGCUCCAGGCUCUGAGCUGUCAGCAGAGAGCCCGACGUGGGGCUUGAACUCUGGAGCCAUGAUAUCACGACGUGAGCCAAAGUCGGAGACUCAAUUGACUGAGCCACCCAGGCGCCCCAUGAGCAUGACUCUUUUUCUACAGCUGUUGGGAAAUGUCUCCAACACUGUUAUUAAUGAUUGCCUUGAUGUAGGAAUUUUUAAUUUAUUGUUAGCGUAUAUAGUGAAAGAUAUUCUUGUUUUGUAAAGUAAAGCAGAACUAUUUUUGCUUUUUCUUAAAAAGCAAACAGGGAAAUAUCUAGAAUUUUGGAUUUCUUUUCUUAGUACAAAGAUAGUUGGUAGGGUGGAUUGAGGCCUGCACAUUGUGAAGAAUUUUCCCCAAGUUUACUCCCACCUCAUUUGGAGCAGCCCAUUGAGUGAAUUGCACUCAAGUAAGAAGGCCUGACAAGAAGACUUUGUCAUACAGUCAUUGCAAGAUGUUGAGAAAACAAACGUUUACCGGGGCUCAAAUUCCACCCUGGACAAGUAAGGCUGCUUUGUAUCCCUGUACAACCAAAAACAGCAAGAUGUGCAUGUGGCACACAGAGCAAAUUUUUAAAGCAAAGAUCAUUACAUAGCAAUUUUAAAAAGAUAAACAAUUAAAGUCAGUACAUGUUUGUUUUCACUAACUUCCUUUGUGUAAUCUUCCUUAAGAGACACAGAAGGCAACGAGAUGUGUACAGUGCAUUUAUGGAUCGUGUGGAAGAGAAGUUUACCCAAACAUGCAAGAACAGGUGGGCAAACACUUCAAGUUUUGUUUCUGAACACUUACAUUAACUUGUUAGAGUUGCUGCUCAAAUGAUCCUUUCAAUAAUACGUUCUUUAUCCCAUAGAAGCUCUAUCACAAGAACUAUAAAUGAAAUAUUUGCAUGAUGGUUAAACCAUUUUAAGUGGAGUCUGAAAGAAUCCAAUUCCUUGAUCCAAGAUGAAUUAUUAUUUCUCCUAGGUUCAGUGGAAUCCUGGAAAACUGUCAGUGACUGUGUCUGUCCAUAUCCCUUCAGGCUUUAUUACUCUAGGUCAUUUCUGCCCACAUGCCAACAGUUAGCAUCUGCACCUCCUUGCCCAAGGCUCUCCCUGGCUGCCGUCAGAAGUGCUGGAGGUUAAUAUCUCCUAGCUGCAGCCCUCAGGUAAUAGUGGAGGCGAUUGUUUUAUGCUGCUCCCCAGGGUCCUCCAGGUGGCUAACCUCCAGUUGUUCCGUAGCUACUUCACUCUGUUGGCUUCCUUCCUAUCUCACUGGCCCACGUGCUUACCUUGCCACCAUUUUACCUUCAUCUGGAGACCACCUCUGGUAGGACCAGAGUUUUGGCUAAGCACCUGCUUCUGGGGAAAUCUAACUCUGACACCCUAAGGCAGUAGUGUAAUGAUCUUAGAAGGCAGAAAGCCUGGCUUUGAAUCCCAGCCUGGCUACAUGAUCUUGGACCGAUUAUGCAACCACACUCAACCUCAGUUCUUCACCUGUAAAAUUUGAAUAAUAUAUGCUGUCCCAGAUGCAGACAAGGGGGUGGUCACCUUAUAGCUGACUCACCUUAUAGCUUCCCUUACCUCUCUUUAUUAGCUUGUAAAUAUCAUCUAUGGGAAAGAGGUGGGAGGGCAGAUUAAUAGAAUAGAGUUUGGGUUUGAGAUUUGGUCAAAAUGGAUUCAAAUUCUAACCAAAUCACCUAUAAAUAUAAUCUUGGAUGAUUUGGUUAAGUUUUCUGAAUCAAUCUUUCUUAGGUUUUAGGAGAAUUAAGUGAAAUAGUAUAUAUAAACUACUGGUAAAGACCCUCAUAUCUUUUGGAUUCACUUAUUAUUGAUUAUUAUUGUUAAUGAUAAUAUAGAGAUAGGGCUUUGCACAACCAUAGAAAAAUUACUUAAUUGUCUAUGUCUCAGUUUUCUCAUCUGUAAAAUGACAAUACUAAAAGCACAAAUUUCAUAAAGUUGUUGAAAAGUCAAAACUUUGUAAAACACAUGGAACAUGGCAAUGACACUGAAUGAUUACUAUGUUAAGCAUUUGAUUAAUAAAAAUUAAAAAACUAUGCAUCUUGCCUGUGUAAAACAAGUUUCCAGGAACUAGUCAAGAGUUGACUGAAAAUUAAGAGAGGAAAAGAGAGUUGUGGGUGGGAAGGAGAGAGAGAGAGAGAGAGAGAGAGAGAAGAAGGGGAUUUAUUCCUCACGAAUGUCUUUCAGUCCCAUGGAGUAAGACAAGAGUCACAUUAAUUCUCAUCUGUAAUUUUCAGGCUCUUUAGUAAGGCUCUUUAGUAAGAUAAACCUAUGGACAUAUGUAUAUGCAAGGAACCCAGAGAAUGAACAGUCAGCAGACACCUGUCUCUAAGAGGAACAGAUUACAGAUGAAUAUAUAAAGAGAUCAGUGUCCAGAAAAGUGUGUUCAAAUGGACAAGACUUUAUUUUAUGUUUGUGAGUGGUAGAUAUGAGAUCACUCCACGAAUGACGUAGGAUGUGGACUUAUUCUUACAAAGUUUACAAAGUGGUUGUUUCAAAUUGCAAAGAUCCUGCUGUGCAUGAGUGUAGACCACCGUAGCAAUAGUAGGGUCUUCUCCUCUAUAGAUGAUUUUUUACUUGAGCUUAGUAAUUAGGGGCCCCAUGCUAACUGCUGUCUUAGUCAAAUACAGGCUCCACUUACAAAGGAAAUGACAGGGCAGUCCAUCACCAAGUUACUUAAAUCAGUUUCAGAAAAUCAUAGACUCCUACUAACUGAAUCAUUAUAAACUAAGUGGCUUCAUUCUUCACAAGAAUUUCACCCUUCCUAGCUGCCACUGGGAAGCAUCUUCUCUUAACUUGAAGAGCAAAUCUACCUCGAUAUCCCACAGGUUUCUCAAAAUUAAAGAAAAUAAUAGUCUGAAAUUAUAGUCCCCUCUUAUUUUUUUUUUUUUUUAUGUACUUAGCAUAUUGAACCCUGUGAUGGUUCAAACAAAUGACUUUAUUUUUCUCAAACAUGACUUUCAAAUGUGCUGUGUUGGGUCUUUAUCUCUUCAGCUUGAGAACAUCUUUGGCAGAUCCUAUAGAUUUUCAAUCAUUUUAUUUGUACCAGGAAUGUGUUUUCUGUAAUUCCAGCUCACAUUAAGCCAUGAAAAAGCUCAGGCUAUAAUAAAAGGUAUAUGCGAUUCCUGCAGUACCUGGGUGGCCCCGUUGGUUAAGUGUCUGGCUCUUGAUUUCAGCUCAGGUCAUGAAUUCACAGUUUGUGUAACUGAGCCCCACAUCAGGCUCUGUGCUGAUAGCACAGAGUCUGCUUGGGAUUCUCUCUCUUUGCCCCUUCCCUGCUCUCUCUCUCUCUCAAAAUAAAUAAAUAAACAUUAAAAAAAGAUAUAUAUGAUUUCUUACCUCAUACCAUGCAUAAAGAAAUCAAUUCAUAUGGAUUAUAGAUCCAAAUGUGAAAGGAAAAAAAUAAUGCUUCAAAAUAAAUUUUGGGAAAAUAAGUGAUAUCUUAAACAGGACCAAAAAAAGGGGGUGGGGAGUUAUCCAUAAAGAAAAAACUUAUGAAAUGCUCAACUUAAGCAUUAAAACUCUAAACUUUCAUUCAUCAAAUGACACGAAUAAGAAUGAAAGGCAGCUAUAGAACUCCUGCAAAUAAAUAUGAAACAGACAAGCAGUUCAAGAGAAAAUAAUAGGUGUUUCACAGAAGAGGAUAUCUAAAUGACUAGACUUAUGAAGUCUAGAUGUGCUCAUCUUCAUUGGGACUGGUACUUUGGAAAACUAUUUGGCAAUAUAUUCUAAAGUUGAAUGUGUGUAUAACAUAUGACAUGACAUUUCACUCUUAGUGUAUUUAUCUAAGACAAAUACACAGUAUAUGUGCAUGUACGUUUAGAUAUGUACAGGAAUAUUCAUAGCAAAAUUAUUUGUUAUAAUCUUCAAACUAGAAACAAGCCUAAUGCCAAUAAAUCGUAGAAUGGAUGAAGUGUGGUAUAUUUACACAAAGGAUUACCAAACAGCAAAGAAAAUGAACAAAGUGUUACUAUAUGGAUGAGUUUCACAAACGUACUGAUGAGUAAAAAAAAAAAAAAGAUAGAUGCAUUAUAUACCUUAUAUAGUUAUUCCAUUUUAUAGAAAAAAAAAAAAAACCACUUGCCUAUGUGUAAGAAAUCAAGAAGUUGAUUUCCUUUGACUCAAAGGGACGGAGUGCAAUGAGGAGUUUCUGGGCCCUGGAAAUGUAACAAUUCCUGACCCAGGUGGUGGCAAUGUAGACGUAUUCCAUUUGUGACAUUUCACAGAAAUACACAUUUAAUAUGCAUACACUAUGCCGCAUAAUGUAAAACUUUAAUAAAAAGUUAACAAGGGGAAGUUUUCUUCUAAUUGCCUUAAAUUUCACAAAUAAAUAAAUAAUAAGGCCUCAUCUGUUCUAGAUUAAAACUUUAAUCUCACAACUAGUUUGUUCUCCUCAUCCAAAGCCUACCCUGUGGCUCAGGGCUUUACAGUGAUGAAAGGAACAUCAUCUCCUUUUUUCUCUUUCUACACUUCUCCCAUCACACACCAUUGCCUCUUGGUCUGCCUUUUAUCUGCAAGGUGUUGGUGCCCAAAGGAGAAAUGGGAAGAGCAAAGGUAGCAACAGGGACAAAGACCUCAGGUAGGAGAGACAGUUGUAAGCAGACAGUGACAUUGCCUGUAUGGCAGAUGUCCACACAGUUACUUGCUUGUGGAGCCCAUUUUGGGCAUGCGUCUUUGUCCUAUACAGGGACCUCAUUCUGUACAGUCCUUUGAUAGGGACUAAACUUCAGCAUCUCACUAUCAGCAGUCCACCCCACUACUUCCUACAGGUAGACCCAAGUCCUGUCCAGACAGCCUUCUUGGUAGGGCUACCCACAAGAUGGCUGGAGCCUAGCUUUCUCAUGAGUCUUGUGUGUUCAGGGAACACUCCAUACAGCCCACCAAAUGGGAGCAUGUGGAUGGCCCCCUAUUUUCCUUUCUCCUUUCCCUGACACUGUGAGCCACCCUUCUUCUUUUAAUCUCUAGGUAAGAAGUAGGCACCCUUCUCUGUGAUUAAAUGCAUACCUUCUGAAACCUCCUUGGGAUAUAGACAAAACUACCCCUCCUCCAGGAACUCCCAUACUGCCUUGCGCUGAAGGACACUGCAGUGGUGUCUGCAUUUUCUGAAGCUCAGCAAGAAGCCACCCAUACAUACCUGCAGGCUUCCUCCUCUUAUAGGCAACCACCAUCUCUAUUCACCAUAAAUGGUAAUGCUGGGAAUUUCUGAAUUGGCUUUGCAGGGUUCACCAUCUUUCCUUUCUCACAGAAAUAAGAAUGUGUACUCUACAAUGCUUCCCCCCAAGGAUAAUGAUGCCUACUUAAAGAAAAAAAACCCAUACAUUUAGAGUUUUAAUCAUUUAUUUACUUAAUGAGGAUGAAGUAGAAAGUGACAGUAUGAGACAAGGAAAAUAUACCUUUUAAAAAGUCCUGUGGGAAUAUGUCUUCUAGCGGCUUGUUUCUUUGUGUUUUCAGCUUUGGGGAUUUUGUCUCAUUUCAAGACAACAAGAAAGAUACCAUUUCUACCUGAUUAACACUUGUGUUCCUUGCCUCACUGAGCUCCUACCCUUCUUGUCUGAGAAGCCUUGGGCACACUCUUCUCAAACUCCUCACAUGUCUUCGGCCAUUUUCUAGGAAUCUUCCUGUCAAUAUUUUUCCUCUAGCCCUUCCUUCCCACCUGUUUUAUUUCUAUACCCCCAUCCAUUCAGAGGCAAACACCACCCAGAGCAUAUAUCUAGCAUAGCUUUUAUUACAUGCUUGUGGGUGAUGUAGUGCUCUUUUCCCCAACGAGGUAAUAAACAACUUCAGAGCCAGGCUUUUGCCUGAUUUUAUUUUGUAGGUGAGUACCUGGAGUGUGGUACUUAAAAAGCUUUGCUUAAUGAGAGAAUAGAAGACAGUGGUUGAGGUUCAUUGUGAAGCAUUGAUACAGAUUACCGGAAAUUGGAGAUAAAAUUGUUCAUUCUAACGCCCCUCAGUUUCACCCUAAAGCUGCUGAUGGAAGGGAGAUAUUUAACUGUGAUACAUGGUGUAUUUAGGAGUCCCUGACUUUUGCAUUGUUUAGUUGUCUUUUACAAAUCAAACUCAGCAAUGUGCAAUCACUUUCAUAGGCACAGCACUCAGUUCCCUCCAGAGCACAUGGUGAUUACUUAGGUAUCUUUAUUGUCCUCAUUAUCAUUCUAAUUUUGUGAACUAGGAAACCAAAGUCCUCAUUAGGAAUGGAGUAUUCGCAGCACUUAUUCAGCAUGAUGCUCUAAAACACAAUGAGUUUCAGAUCACAGUGGCAUAUGCAUACUUUCUGAUAAAUAACCAAAAAUAAACUUAUAUGACCAACAUGGUGUAGUUCUCAUUCCUGAUCAGAGUUGUGAUCAUGCUCGAAGAUUCCUAUUGUUAUCAUGCUGUUCUGAGCUUGGUUUCAGAUGAAGGGCUUUAUAAUAAGACAAGAGGACUGAACACACCAUGCACGGCAUUUGCAGUCAAGUUUCUGGUCCUGGGAGUGUCAUACCUGGUAAACUUCACCCGUUUGUAGAAGCUGAUUCAGGAAAUUCUGGUCUCACACUAGAGCUUCCUGAAAUCUCUCCUGAAUGAGGGGGAUUCACCUUCUGUGUGUUUCCUUUUGAGACCAUCAAUGGAUUUUGAUAUCAUGCUGGAUUCUACAGAAAUAGGCACUCUCCCAAAGUCAUAAGAAAGUUCUAAAUCUACAAGUUUUUCAAACUGAAGUUGCUUAACUUGAAAUUGCUUUGUUUCAACAUAGAUAAGAAUAC
rnacentral:lncRNA from 1 species